rnacentral:rRNA from 1 species
AGAGCUCAAGCUUAAAAUCUGAGGCAGUUAUGUCUCCGAAUUGUAGUUUCGUGAACAACUUUACGGAUGUGUUUAUACCGGUAUAAGUCCCCUGGAACGGGGUGCCAAAGAAGGUGAGAGCCCUGUGCACGACCGGUAUUUUUAAUUGAAUACAUCAACACGUACUGUUGAUUCGCAGAGUCGGGUUGUUUGGGAGUACAGCCCAAAGUGGGAGGUAAAUUCCUUCUAAAGCUAAAUAAUGGCGAGAGACCGAUAGCGAA